rnacentral:rRNA from 1 species
GACGAACGCUGGCGGCGUGCUUAACACAUGCAAGUCGAACGGAAAGGCCUGCUUUCCCUUGUGGAUUGCGGGUACUCGAGUGGCGAACGGGUGAGUAACACGUGAGUGAUCUGCCCCCAACUUGGGUAUAAGCCUGGGAAACUGGGUCUAAUUCCCGAUAGGACUGCAGGGUGGUGCCUGUGGUGGAAAACGAUUUUCUAGUGGUUGGGGAUGAGCUCGCGGCCUAUCAGCUUGUUGGUGGGGUAAUGGCCUACCAAGGCGGCGACGGGUAGCCGGCCUGGGAGGGUGGACGGCCACAUUGGGACGGAGAUACGGCCCAGACUCCGACGGGAGGCAGCAGUGGGGAAUAUUGCACAAUGGGCGGAAGCCUGAUGCAGCGACGCCGCGUGGGGGAUGACGGCCUUCGGGUGGUAAACUCCUUUCGACCGCGAGGAAGCCACCUGGUUGGAAGGGUGGUGACGGUAGUGGUAGAAGAAGCACCGGCUAACUACGUG